CCUGGCGGCAGGCCUAACACAUGCAAGUCGAGCGCGCCUUCGGGCGAGCGGCGGACGGGUUAGUAACGCGUGGGAACGUGCCCAGAUCUACGGAAUAGCCACUGGAAACGGUGAGUAAUACCGUAUACGCCCUUCGGGGGAAAGAUUUAUCGGAUUUGGAUCGGCCCGCGUUAGAUUAGGUAGUUGGUGGGGUAACGGCCUACCAAGCCUACGAUCUAUAGCUGGUUUUAGAGGAUGAUCAGCAACACUGGGACUGAGACACGGCCCAGA
rnacentral:rRNA from 1 species